GUGAGUGUGAGGUGGCUGGGGGGGGCCGGGGACGGCUUGGGCCUGCCUAGUCGGCCUGACCACCCACCCCACA